AGAGUUUGAUCCUGGCUCAGGAUGAACGCUAGCGACAGGCUUAACACAUGCAAGUCGAGGGGCAGCACAGGUAGCAAUACCGGGUGGCGACCGGCGCACGGGUGAGUAACGCGUAUGCAACUUGCCUAUCAGAGGGGGAUAACCCGGCGAAAGUCGGACUAAUACCGCAUGAAGCAGGGAUCCCGCAUGGGAAUAUUUGCUAAAGAUUCAUCGCUGAUAGAUAGGCAUGCGUUCCAUUAGGCAGUUGGCGGGGUAACGGCCCACCAAACCGACGAUGGAUAGGGGUUCUGAGAGGAAGGUCCCCCACAUUGGUACUGAGACACGGACCAAACUCCUACGGGAGGCAGCAGUGAGGAAUAUUGGUCAAUGGCCGAGAGGCUGAACCAGCCAAGUCGCGUGAGGGAUGAAGGUUCUAUGGAUCGUAAACCUCUUUUAUAAGGGAAUAAAGUGCGGGACGUGUCCUAUUUUGUAUGUACCUUAUGAAUAAGGAUCGGCUAACUCCGUGCCAGCAGCCGCGGUAAUACGGAGGAUCCGAGCGUUAUCCGGAUUUAUUGGGUUUAAAGGGUGCGUAGGCGGCCUUUUAAGUCAGCGGUGAAAGUCUGUGGCUCAACCAUAGAAUUGCCGUUGAAACUGGGGGGCUUGAGUAUGUUUGAGGCAGGCGGAAUGCGUGGUGUAGCGGUGAAAUGCAUAGAUAUCACGCAGAACCCCGAUUGCGAAGGCAGCCUGCCAAGCCAUGACUGACGCUGAUGCACGAAAGCGUGGGGAUCAAACAGGAUUAGAUACCCUGGUAGUCCACGCAGUAAACGAUGAUCACUAGCUGUUUGCGAUACACUGUAAGCGGCACAGCGAAAGCGUUAAGUGAUCCACCUGGGGAGUACGCCGGCAACGGUGAAACUCAAAGGAAUUGACGGGGGCCC
rnacentral:rRNA from 1 species